GCUGGGUGUGGUGGUGCAUAUCUGUAAUCCCAGCAGCUUGGGAAGCUUAGGCAGGAAGAUCUUGAGCUCAAAGCCAGCCUCAGCAAUAGUGAGGCACUAAGCAAUUCAGUGAGACCCUGUCUCUA
rnacentral:sRNA from 1 species